CCCACUGACCUGACUCCCCCGGCCUGUGCUUCCCAAGCCCUGGCACGCUGGACAGGGCCGGAGGGCCUCGGUGUGUGGAGCACGUGGGGACCCAGGAAAGCGCGUGCCCAUCAGAGCCAGUCUCAGGCGCUGCCCGGGUGGGCUGCCAUGAGCCGAGGUUGCCAGUGACCCUGCGCGCCAGGCGGAGCCUCGCAGGCUUCAGGCCAGCUGUGGGCCAGCAGUGACAGCGACGCGACACGCACUCCUCUGCAGACCGCACGUUCUUCUGAGGCGUUUGAGAGCGGUGAUGUGAACCUUUCAGGGACUGAGUGUUCAGACUGCGACUCAAAACCCACUUAUUUACCGCAAAGUGCCCACUCUGCUGCUGAACCUGGACACUGAGGCUUCGGUUUAGAAAAGCAACUCACCCAUCUGUGC
rnacentral:lncRNA from 1 species